rnacentral:lncRNA from 1 species
CGACUGCAUCACCACUAAAAAUAGAACAGUGAGUUCAGAGAGGAUGUAAAAUGCAGUAUUUCUAUCAGAAAAAUGCUAAUAGUUCAAGCUGCAAUAGGAAACUGAAAAGGCCAUAAGGACUACAUGAACUGUCAAAAUGUGUGCAGCACAGGCUGUGAAUAAAGAUUGUGAUUAAAGCUAAUUGACAGGCAAUUUUCAACAGACAGAGGAAUCAAGGGAUCCAGUCUCUGAUAGCAGUAUAGCUUUUCCUUUUGACUGAAUUCAUCCUUUACAAGCUAUUUUUUUUUAAGUUGUCUUAGUUUACUUCUCCUCCUCCCAGUGAAGAUUUCACUUCAAACAUCAGCUGGGAUAAAUUUCAGUCAUGGUCUUCAGAACUGUUAUACCCAGAGGCCGAUUCUCUUAGAGCUUUUUCCACCUUUUCACCUGGUUGUCAGCUUGCUUCCAUGGGUCUGCCUUCAAAGACAGCCAAAUCAGGUUCUUCUGUCCAUCAAAGUCCAUCUUGGGAGGUGGGAGGGAAUAGCAGCUGUAUAGUUUGGAUGCAUCAGGCAAGGCGAGGAUGCAGCUGUGCUUCUCUGCAGAAGGCCGUGAUGGUGCAGUGCAAUCACCUGGCAGCAGCUGCACAUGAAACAAAUCCCACAGCUGUCAGCAUGUCCUGGCCACUUCAAGGGAAAUGGCACCAACUUUGUGCCAGGUGAGUUAUAGGUCAAGAGGAGUGAUUAGAGGGCACAGUCAGAUCACUGAGAAUCCUCAGAGCACCACAGAUGUAUCCACAAAAGAAGAUCCUUACCUGGUUUUGAUAAAAUUAGCAUACUGAGCAGAAUUGUAAUUUUACUCAUUCUCUUUUGGAGUUUGUUAUGCUAAGUUAUUGAUCAAAGAUUUCCUAAUCAAGAUAGUCUGCACAAAUAGCCUAGAACUGACUUUGUGUAGUUGAUACGCUGACAAAUUUUACUCUACAUUAUUUUAAUUACUAGGAAAAUUAUGCUCUGAGAAGAAAACUACAACAACGCCCCAUCGUGCACCCUCCUCCCCACUCCCAAAGUGUAGUAGCUGAGCUACAAGAGCAGAAAACAAACACGUUACUUCUAGUAAGAAACAUAAAGGUUAUGAAGCAAUUUUUACAUAUCUCUAUUCAGGGGUUUAAAGCUUCUGUAGAUUCCUUUGAUACCUGAGAGGUCUUCAGGACUUAAAAAAUAAGGACAUUGUAUUGAAAUAACCAAAACAGAUAAACAACUUCAGUCAUUCCCAUAUGAGCAUUUGCACUCUAGAUUGUAAGUCUGCUCACAAAGUUCACACAGAAGGGUCCUGUAGGCUUUGCAUCCUCUUGAUUCUUAGAGUUUGGAUGAAGUACAUUUUUAGGCACCAGAUAUCUUUUUACUUCUCUGGUUGCCUGUGGAAGAAAUUAUAUACGUUAUAUCAUGAAGUAAAACAAUCUUGGUAUUUUUAGCUCUCUAGAUACUGCCCAAGAUGAGUAUGAAACCAACUCACAACACUGCAAAUAUUGAGAUUACCUUAUCCUAUUUAUCCAGGGCACACUAGGCAAGAUUUUAGGGUUAAUUUCUGUAGGCUGAAGCUAACAUAUGCAAACAAUUUUCUGGCACUACUCACUGCACAAGGCAGAAUACGGCUCAUAGGCCUCUAGCAUGUCUAAUACUUGCAUUCAUUUGUAUGUUCAGAAACAAAACAAAAUGUGUGCUC